UAAAAUAAUCUUAUCUGGUAAAGCGAAUGAUUAGAGGCCUUAGGGUCGAAACGAUCUUAACCUAUUCUCAAACUUUAAAUGGGUAAGAACCUUAACUUUCUUGAUAUGAAGUUUAAGGUUAUGAUAUAU
rnacentral:ncRNA from 1 species